rnacentral:rRNA from 1 species
AUUGAACGCUGGCGGCAGGCCUAACACAUGCAAGUCGAGCGGGGUUUUCGGACCUAGCGGCGGACGGGUGAGUAAUGCGUAGGAAACUACCCGAUAGAGGGGGAUACCAGUUGGAAACGACUGUUAAUACCGCAUAAUGUCUACGGACCAAAGUGUGGGACCUUCGGGCCACAUGCUAUCGGAUGCGCCUACGUGGGAUUAGCUAGUUGGUGAGGUAAUGGCUCACCAAGGCGACGAUCUCUAGCUGGUUUGAGAGGAUGAUCAGCCACACUGGAACUGAGACACGGUCCAGACUCCUACGGGAGGCAGCAGUGGGG